GUGCGGGGCCGCGCUUCCGCCAGCGCCGCAGCGGGGAAUCUGCAGUAGGUCUGCCGGCGAUGGAGUGGUGGGCUAGCUCGCCGCUUCGGCUCUGGCUGCUGUUGUUCCUCCUGCCCUCAGCGCAGGGCCGCCAGAAGGAGUCAGGUUCAAAAUGGAAAGUAUUUAUUGACCAAAUUAACAGGUCUUUGGAGAAUUACGAACCAUGUUCAAGUCAAAACUGCAGCUGCUACCAUGGUGUCAUAGAAGAGGAUCUAACUCCUUUCCGAGGAGGCAUCUCCAGGAAGAUGAUGGCAGAGGUAGUCAGACGGAAGCUAGGGACCCACUAUCAGAUCACUAAGAACAGACUGUACCGGGAAAAUGACUGCAUGUUCCCCUCAAGGUGUAGUGGUGUUGAGCACUUUAUUUUGGAAGUGAUCGGGCGUCUCCCUGACAUGGAGAUGGUGAUCAAUGUACGAGAUUAUCCUCAGGUUCCUAAAUGGAUGGAGCCUGCCAUCCCAGUCUUCUCCUUCAGUAAGGCUAGACUUUGGAAAAUAGGGAAAAUAUAUCUUUGACAAUGUGACACUAAACCAAGGCUGUCCAGAUCCUGUGGCAUGAUUGCAGUUGCCUCUUUUCACUGUUCCAAGACUGAUUUAGGACGACCUGUCUGUUUUUGUUGAAGACAUCAGAGUACCAUGAUAUCAUGUAUCCUGCUUGGACAUUUUGGGAAGGGGGACCUGCUGUUUGGCCAAUUUAUCCUACAGGUCUUGGACGGUGGGACCUCUUCAGAGAAGAUCUGGUAAGGUCAGCAGCACAGUGGCCAUGGAAAAAGAAAAACUCUACAGCAUAUUUCCGAGGAUCAAGGACAAGUCCAGAACGAGAUCCUCUCAUUCUUCUGUCUCGGAAAAACCCAAAACUUGUUGAUGCAGAAUACACCAAAAACCAGGCCUGGAAAUCUAUGAAAGAUACCUUAGGAAAGCCAGCUGCUAAGGAUGUCCAUCUUGUGGAUCACUGCAAAUACAAGUAUCUGUUUAAUUUUCGAGGCGUAGCUGCAAGUUUCCGGUUUAAACACCUCUUCCUGUGUGGCUCACUUGUUUUCCAUGUUGGUGAUGAGUGGCUAGAAUUCUUCUAUCCACAGCUGAAGCCAUGGGUUCACUAUAUCCCAGUCAAAACAGAUCUCUCCAAUGUCCAAGAGCUGUUACAAUUUGUAAAAGCAAAUGAUGAUGUAGCUCAAGAGAUUGCUGAAAGGGGAAGCCAGUUUAUUAGGAACCAUUUGCAGAUGGAUGACAUCACCUGUUACUGGGAGAACCUCUUGAGUGAAUACUCUAAAUUCCUGUCUUAUAAUGUAACGAGAAGGAAAGGUUAUGAUCAAAUUAUUCCCAAAAUGUUGAAAACUGAACUAUAGUAGUCAUCAUAGGACCAUAGUCCUCUUUGUGGCAACAGAUCUCAGAUAUCCUACGGUGAGAAGCUUACCAUAAGCUUGGCACCUAUACCUUGAAUAUCUGCUAUCAAGCCAAAUACCUGGUUUUCCUUAUCAUGCUGCACCCAGAGCAACUCUUGAGAAAGAUUUAAAAUGUGUCUAAUACACUGAUAUGAAGCAGUUCAACUUUUUGGAUGAAUAAGGACCAGAAAUCGUGAGAUGUGGAUUUUGAACCCAACUCUACCUUUCAUUUUCUUAAGACCAAUCACAGCUUGUGCCUCAGAUCAUCCACCUGUGUGAGUCCAUCACUGUGAAAUUGACUGUGUCCAUGUGAUGAUGCCCUUUGUCCCAUUAUUUGGAGCAGAAAAUUCGUCAUUUGGAAGUAGUACAACUCAUUGCUGGAAUUGUGAAAUUAUUCAAGGCGUGAUCUCUGUCACUUUAUUUUAAUGUAGGAAACCCUAUGGGGUUUAUGAAAAAUACUUGGGGAUCAUUCUCUGAAUGGUCUAAGGAAGCGGUAGCCAUGCCAUGCAAUGAUGUAGGAGUUCUCUUUUGUAAAACCAUAAACUGUGUUACUCAGGAGGUUUCUAUAAUGCCACAUAGAAAGAGGCCAAUUGCAUGAGUAAUUAUUGCAAUUGGAUUUCAGGUUCCCUUUUUGUGCCUUCAUGCCCUACUUCUUAAUGCCUCUCUAAAGCCAAAAAAAAAAAAAAAGACAAAGCCUCUUAAUAAAUUUAAUGGAACUAUACAUAGAACAGCAGCUCUUCCUCACCCUUUGCAUACCUUUAAUAUUUUUCCUUCUUAAAUUGGCCACAGCAGGGGUCAUUCACACUCUCACUGUCUUGCAGGAAUCACAAGAAGUCUUCAUAUGUGAACGUGCCAUUCAGUUGGUAGUUAAGAGCAUUCAACUUCAAAUAUAUAGAAGAUAUUUGUUUUAGUGCAAAUCCAUGAUGGAGUGCCUCCCUUUUCCUUUUUUCACUUUUUGAAAAAGAUGUUUUGGGUAGUAGUUUAAUAUCUCAGGGUGCUCUUUCUAACAUAGUAAAAAAUGAAGAAAAAUGUUUAGAUUAAAACUCUGUAGUCUGAUGACUUAGAACCAUCCUUGACCCUUAGGCCCAACCUUUCCACAGAGAAAUCACCUCUCUUCCUUUGUCUUUUAAGAACUAUUUGGUAUUAACUAGUUUCAGAAUUAGUAAAUGUGAGAUUCAGUCACAUAAUUAUCAGACAUUCCAUUUGUCAGAAAUGUAUUUGGCUUUUUAAACUCCUUUCCACAAAAGUUUAAGUCUAAUGACCUUCUUAGAGAAGUUGAGCAUGCCUGGCAAGAUCAUUUCAUGGAAUAAGCAGAUGUUUAAAGUUGGAUUUUUUUUUUUUUUUUUUUUUGAGUACUAGCAAUGCACAGGGACCGUGUUCUUAGGUUCUUAGUCUGUGAAUCUAGCAAUAGGCAGUCCAGAUUUCUGAGUCGUACUAUGGUUUUGCCUUGUCACUGUGAGGCCCUACUAGGUGUAAGCAUUCUCUCUGAAUUUUAAUUUCCUCUCAUUAAAAUAGGAACAAAAUUUGCUAUCCUUUAGAUUAGGAGCUGAAGAUUCAUUUCCCUGGGAAUGUUUCCCAUUUAGCUUCAAGUUUCAGCUCAAACAUCACCUUCUUUCUGACUCCUUUCAUUCAUUCCUCCAGGCAGUAAGGGGCUACCAUAGUACUUUGUUUAUGCCUGUAUUAUAUGACAUCACUGUAGUUGCUUGACUGUUUCUCCUACUGUUCUGUAAACUUAUUAAUGGGUGAGAAUCUAAUUUUACUCAUCUUGAUGGCUUCAUGAUCCAGCACAGUGCCUCACACAAAGAACUAUUGGGUGGGUGGAUGGAUGGAUGGAGGAAUGGAGACAGUUGGCUUAACCAGAUCCUAUAUACAGAUUAUUACUGGCUCCAAAGGAUGAGUAGAUAAGACCAUAAGAAUUGGAUCAAUGUAAAUCCUCACCUGCCCUUUGAAGAGCCAAUAAGGGCAUCUUUGUCUUUAAAUACAGCAAAUGUUAUUCAGAUUUUGUACUUGUCUAUCUGUUUACCUCAGUGUAGAUGAUAUGAGGAUGGUAUAACUAUGUAAAUUGUUUUUGAAAAUAAUUUGUUUCCCCACAACUUUUGAAGGUUUUAUUUGUUGUUGUUAUUACUAGUUCAGUCCCAAACUUACCCUUUCCUUUUCAGAGAGCUAAUGGCCAUGCUUUUCUUCAAGGAAAGAAUAAUUUAUUUGAAUGAAGUGGGAUACUUGCAUAACACAAA